CACAGCUUAAACACUUGCGCUCUUCUAUCUCUCCACAAAACAAAACCUAUCUAUCCCACAGCCCACAAUAACCCUUCAACCCACAACCUUUGCUUGUACCAAGCCUACAGCUUUGUCCUCGACAAACCCUUCCACUCAAAACCUCUUUUACUUCUCGGGUUAUUCGAUCUGGGAAAUAACGAAGCCUCCAUCGACGACCACUUUGAGCUCCCUAUUGACAUCUACACCCAGGCUAUCGUCGUCAACCCUGACAAAUCGAGAUCUACUCCGGCCGCACUUAUGCGAAUAUCAAAUCCAACAAUCUCACCGAUGCGGUAGUAAACCUAAUGGGUUACCUCUAGGGUUCUCUUGUGGGUUUAAUUAUGAACCUUGGAGCUAUGGAUUUGGAAUUGAAGGCAAAAAUGUCAAAAUUGGGGCUAAGGACUAAGACAAACUGUUUUGGAAUGGGAAAUCAAAUUGAAAAUAGCUACUGGCUCUGCAAAAGGAACAACAUAUCAUGAAUUGUGAGUUCCUUCCAGGGAUCUUUCAGUGUUUUGUUUACAAUUUAUCUAUUAA